rnacentral:lncRNA from 10 species
UUCAAUUAGCUUAAAUUUUUUAUUUACAUGGUUUCACAUAAAAAUAAAAAUAGAAGGAUGACAUAAAAAUAAAUGAAGUUGAGAAUUUAGAUUUAGUUUUUAAGGGCUCUUUUUCCUACCUGGUCCACCAUUGCAUCAGUAACAUCUAUGUUUGGUUUCUGUCCAAAGGGAACUGUCAAAGAGUACAGAUUUGUCCAAAAUCUACCCCACAUAUCACCUAUAUUUAAAAAAGAAUCUGUUAGUAUAUGACAACACAGCAGAAAUGUAGACAUAAUUUAUUAAAUAUAUGGACCAUCAUUGACACUGUAAAUUAGAAAGAGAUUUCUAUAAUCUACCAUCCAUGGAAAUAAAUAUUUGGAUGAAAGGACAUGCAGGAUAUUGUUUU